GUGCUCCCUUUGGCAACACAUAUACUAAAAUUGGAACAAUACAGAGAAGAUUAUCAUGGCCCCUGCACAAAGAUGACACACAAAUUCAUAAAGCAUUCCAUAUUUUU
rnacentral:snRNA from 1 species